AUUGUCAGUGAUGAUUACCACAGUUAAGUAUUCGAGUUUCACGACCAUGAGAAUACUUUACAUGCACUACCAUCUGAGACAUA